AGCGAACGCUGGCGGCAGGCCUAACACAUGCAAGUCGAACGAACUCUUCGGAGUUAGUGGCGGACGGGUGAGUCACACGUGGGAACGUGCAUUUUGGUUCGGAAUAACUCAGGGAAACUUGUGCUAAUACCGAAUGUGCCCUUCGGGGGAAUGAUUUAUCGCCAUUAGAGCGGCCCGCGUCUGAUUAGCUAGUUGGUGAGGUAACGGCUCACCAAGGCGACGAUCAGUAGCUGGUCUGAGAGGAUGACCAGCCACACUGGGACUGAGACACGGCCCAGACUCCUACGGGAGGCAGCAGUGGGGAAUCUGGCGCAAUGGGCGAAAGCCUGACGCAGCCAUGCCGCGUGAAUGAUGAAGGUCUUAGGAUUGUAAAAUUCUUUCACCGGGGACGAUAAUGACGGUACCCGGAGAAGAAGCCCCGGCUAACUUCGUG
rnacentral:rRNA from 1 species